UACGGGGGGGGCAAGCGUUGUUCGGAAUUACUGGGCGUAAAGGGCUCGUAGGUGGCCAACUAAGUCAGACGUGAAAUCCCUCGGCUUAACCGGGGAACUGCGUCUGAUACUGGAUGGCUUGAGUUUGGGAGAGGGACGCGGAAUUCCAGGUGUAGCGGUGAAAUGCGUAGAUAUCUGGAGGAACACUGGUGGCGAAGGCGGCGUCCUGGACCAACACUGACACUGAUGAGCGAAAGCCAGGGGAGCAAACGGG
rnacentral:rRNA from 1 species